AAAUAAAUCAAGGAAAUAAAACUCGAAUAUAACGUAAGGUUAAAUCCGGUAUAAAGUUGCACAGUAGUUUCCGGUGUAGAAACUAUUAUGCGAAAAAUAUCUAAAAGCUAAAAACGGGAAAGAUAAAUUGCAAGGGAAAAGAGAAAGUAAAGCUUGCAAAAGAAAUAAAUAAAAUGAACAAUGCUGGAAAGGAAGAAAAAUAAGCAAAGGCGUGAAAGGAAAAUUUGGCAGAGCUUCCGCAAAACUGAGCGUGCAAAAAC
rnacentral:lncRNA from 1 species